GAGAGAAAGUUAAGCUCAGAGAGAGAGAGAGAGAGAGGGAGAGGUUGGCGACGAUGGUGGUGAAUCUUCUCCACUAUUCAUCACCGCCACUAUCAUCGGCCCACACUGUCACCACGACCAUCACCCAAUCCCCAGCGCACCUCCCCCACCAACCCCAAUAACACCACUUAAAACCCCCAAAUUGUCACACAUCUUCGAUUCAAGAAGCAAAAACUCAUCUCCUAUGGGCUCCAAGCAACCUGGCUUCGGUGACGGUGCAAGCCGCAGGUACAUUGUUAACUAUUUUACAAAGUAUGGAGACCUGACAGAUUUGGUUAUCAUGAAAGAUCAGUAAACUGGUCGUCUGAGGUGCUUCGGGUUUAUUACGUAUGCGGAUCCUUCGGUUGUUCACAUUGCUUUGAGGAGUAUCAAAAUAAUGGAAUUAUAUUAUCAAAAUAAUGUUCAUCAGCUUACUCGAAGGUUAGCCCCCUCUGCUAGCCUUGAUGGAAGCGAAAGAAAUCAGGCAAGUGAAAGUGAAGUUGACUAUAGCUUUUUGGCAAGCGAUCUAAACAAAGAAGCAUAGCUCAGUAAUGACUAUCAAUUUACUAAGAGAAGAAAGAUCGGAUUGUAGGCUAGAUUCAAGGUAGUUUAUGCUAGAGCCUUACUUCCUUGGGUUAAACAUAUGGAAAAAAGUAUUGUUAACACUUUGCGAGCCGUAGGCAACGCCUCGCUGAGAACCUCACAGAAGUAACGGUGAAAGCUGCAAAUAUUCGCGAGUUACAAGCUGAAUUGAAGGUGAUCAUCGACGCACUUUAGGUUUAUUUGUAUAUGUCAUAUCUAAAUUUCUAAGCCCCCGACCGCAUCGCGGCGGGGUCUUCCAUCUAGUUAAUACUCAAAAGGAUGUUUUAAACACCCCAAAACUGUAUACAUAUUUUUUAAUAAAUAAUGCAAAUUUAUAUA
rnacentral:lncRNA from 1 species